rnacentral:ncRNA from 1 species
UGAACAGCUGAGAAGGGAAGAAGUAAUCCGAAGCAAGAGUUCAGAGAGCCUGCGUUGGGUGCGAGCAGGUACGAUCGCCGGAUGAAAUACAUCCCGGAGCCGCCGAAUUGAAAUGCUAGUAGGUUCGGCCGUGAAAACGCACGUUACAGCGCGUGGGUAUGGACUGUACCCGUAAGGCCGCUUCCGUGAGGAAGACGGUAAACUGAGGUGGUACCGCGGAAUUUUCCGCCCUCUGC